UCUGUAAAAAGAAAAAAAACGAAAAAAAUAAUUGAUCAAUUGUAUUUAGAUGCGAUAUUAUCAUAAAUUGGCGAAAGCGAUGGAUAUUUCAUUGUAGAAAUAAAUUCGAUCGUAUUACAAAUACGAUCUAACUCCCAGUGCCAAUUUUAAAUUAAAAUAUGGAAUAUGUAUAUUCGUGCCAGCGAUGUAACAAUUGAAAACUAAGCUAAUACAAUUUCUAGCCCCAAACGAAAUAUGCAAACGCAGUUACCUACAUAAUAACAAUGCUCUCAUUCCACGACAGUGUUUAUAUUUAUGUUCAGAUAAUAUUAUGGCAGCUCAGUCAUGCGUAUGUUAGAUACAACAAAACUAGUCGUACAAACGCCUACAUUUUAUAUGCAAUAUGCACUAGCAUACACAAUCCAACACUUAACAUGGAACACAGAUAGCUCUUAUAUAGGCACAGGUAGCUACAUUGAUUAGGUACAUGAUCUAAAUUUGCAAAAAUUCUCAUUAAUUAGUGACAUCGAUGGUGAAAUUUCAAGAAAAGUGGAUAGGUAAGUACGUAUAAAGCCUAAAGGUAUACAAUGAAACGUAUCAAGAGAAGGCUAUUCCAGUCCAUUCUACUUUGAAAAGUAAUUUCAAAAAGCUGAUCGGCUUAUAUGGCCAUAGCCAACAUAAUACGCCUUUUUAAUAAAGCAAACCACAAAUUUUAAAUCAAUUUUUUUCAAAAUGAAUGUAAAGAUGGCACGACAUACAUACAUAGUGCAGAGUAUAGUAAACCAAUAAAGACUUCUUUAGUGACAGUAACCGAACGACAAAAUAAUCUUCUUAGAGCUCGUAUCAUGGCACUCACACAUCCUAAAUUAUGAUGACUCUCAUAGCCUAUCCUGUGACGAUCAUCUUUCCUUUAUCAGUACGUCUCCGUAUGCAUUUCUGGGGCUUCCGAUACUAAACAUGUGGCAUGGCGUAUAAAUGUACACAAUUCAACUCCGCAUACAACGAUUUUCUACUUUAUUCUACGUAUGAACAUAGUAGGCAGACGAUCUCUUUAGCCAAGGAUAUUGGAGGCAUUUCGUUCGAAAAUGAUUGCAACAGAAAGUUGAAACUUUCAGAAGUUAUACCUAGUCAAGUAUUUUCAUAAGGCAAGUACUGAAGGAACGCAGUUUUCAAAAAACUGAAAAUCGAAAAUACUGAAUUGACUCAUUGUAUGUAGGUACCUAUACUUUUUGGUUGGAAAUGUAAACUAAUAAUUUCUUAUUAAUCCAAGGGGAAUUAAUCGAAAUCAAUGAAAUAAUAUCAUUAUUCAUCAUUCCAGAUGGGUACCUAUACCUAUACCUACAUUUAUUAUGCAACAGCCAGAAGCCACAUGAAAUUUUUUUAAAAUUUCACUGAUUCACGCCAUUCUCUUCCUAAGUGUGAAAUUCUGCGUAUUCUACGAUCCAAUGUAUAUACUAUGUACUUAGCUCGUUGACCAUCAGGAAACAAAUAAACAUACCUAUGUAUCCAUGUAUAAUAAUAAUGCAUUGCAAUUACAGCUGUGGCACUACGGCAGUAGGUAUUUAUCAAAUAGAUACGUGUAUUUAUAAGAAAAUGUUUCAUCGCGUACGGAUAAAGCAUAUUAAGUACCUGUAUGUAAGGUAGAACACCGCUACAAAAAUUAUUAUUCGCCAUUGAACAAA